AGGACUGAGGCACGAGGAUGUAGCCCCGACAGCCGGCCGACAGAUCGUCUUGUCUGGAAACGAUUUUAUAGCACAGUCAAUGUCUUCUCGAAGGGAAGAUGGUAUCAGAAAGAUGGAUGAAACAAAAUAUCAUUGACAAACUGCUUUGAGUGACACGCCUGCUAAUGACUUGGAUGACAGACUGUGGCUGAGGAAGAGGGAUAGAUGCGGAGAGAAAAACGAGGCGUAAAUAACAUGGAGUUUCUACAAUGGAACAAAAAAGGUUCUCUUGGCCCCUAGAGUCAUGUGCAUAAUUUAUGAGAUUAGAAGUUCCAUCUAGUUUUUAUUUCAUAGACGUAGGGCUUAUUAGGGAUGGUUCUAAAUAUUAAAUUCUGAUUACAACAUUAAA